rnacentral:rRNA from 1 species
AUUGAACGCUAGCGGGAUGCCUUACACAUGCAAGUCGAACGCGUGGCGGACGGGUGAGUUAUAUAUCGGAACGUGCCCAGGAGCGGGGGAUAAAUACUAGAAAGAGUUGCUAAUACCGCAAUCUCGUGGAGCGGCCGAUAUCGGAUUAGCUAGUUGGAGGGGUAAAGGCUCACCAAGGCAACGAUCCGUAGCGGGUUUGAGAGGAAGACCAGCCACACUGGGACUGAGACACGGCCCAGACUCCUACGGGAGGCAGCAGUGGGGAAUAUUGGACAAUGGGGGAAACCCUGAUCCAGCCAUCCCGCGUGUAUGAGAAGGCCUUCGGGUUGUAAAGUACUUUUGGCAGAGAAGCGGUAUCUGCAGAAUAAGCACCGGCUAACUCCGUGCCAGCAGCCGCGGUAAUAC